rnacentral:lncRNA from 1 species
UAUUGUUGGUCUUUCCUUUCAUAGAAGAAGUUCAAGUAGGUAGGUGAAGGUGAAGGUGAAGGUGAAGGUGAAGGUGAAGGUGAAGGUGACAACUGACACACAGACUUCCACUCGGCUUCUCCUCCGAGUUGCAGUUGUAUCAUUUUUGUUGGAGAUGAAUGUCCGUGCCACGUUUAUUAUUGGCGGUUCUGGGCUUAAAUUGUUGCACUUUGCAGCUCACUCAUAGUGGAUUACUGGAUUGGUAGUAUUGGCCCACG